GACCUAGGAUAGAGAUCAAAUUUAAGACAAAAAAGAAGACCCUCCCCUUAGAGAAAAAUCGAAAACGGUGCUCCCCCUCCUCUUGAGAACAAUCAGAUCUAAUCCCUCACAGAUUACACCUAAGGAUAUGAAAAAAAUAAGAGGCUCCUCUCUAAAAGAAGCGUCGUUCCCCUCUUCUUCUCCUACACUGCUCGUUCACACAUAGAGAACACACUCUUUCCCUCCCAUUUUUCUCUGAUUUCAUCAACACACACAUGCUGAAACCUUUGGUAACAAGUAGAAAUUACAGAAUCUAGAGCUGAAAUUAGAAGGUGACGAAGCUUAAUUUCAGCCUCAAAUUUUUAUUUUAUUUUCCACAUUUUUCUCAGAAUUUCGGAGCUUGAUGAAGCCGUAAAGAUUACUUCGAAGCUGAGAGUUGUUGGAACUGUUUGAUUAUGAGCUCGUUGUUGUUUGUUGGCUGGAGCUUCUUGAGUUUUGCUUCUAGGCUCUAAGGAUGAACGAGUCAGUGAGUAUUGAGUAUCAAAACAAUGAGUGUUCACACUGUUUUAGGGGGACCUAGCUAGCGGCGGACCAGGAUUUGAAGGUCGUAGUAUACUCUUUUAUUUAAUCAAAAUCUGCUUUGUAUAUAGGGUGUCACUAUUACUGCGUCACUAUUUUCUAAAGAUAUAUAUGUAUACAUGAAAUUUUUGUCUCGA